rnacentral:lncRNA from 1 species
CCAGGAACAAAUGCUACGGCAUGAGAGCUGAGCAGCUGCAGCAAGCAGCAGCUACAGCCCCCAACAUACUCACUUGGGAAAGACGACGAGGCAGCCAGAGAGUGCCAGGGAGGCCACCGGUGCCGCUCGGGACACCACCAUGUCCAGCAGCCAGGGGGCCUGCAGGGGAGGAACAGGGAGGAUGUGGGACGUCCUUGUGACGGCUGAGGCACUGGGCGCACAAGGAGCCCAAGGCAGGGAGGGCUGACGGCACCGCAGCACUUGCACGGCACGAGCAGCUGGCCAGGUGCUGGUGGUAGAAAGCUACAGCUCACCUUGAGAAGAGCUUUCCUGAACUUCUCUUUCCCUGACAGCUUCUCAAGGAAGUCGUAAUAGAAUUUCAUGUGGAAGGUCAGUCCAUCGAUGUGGAGCACUCCAAUGUCCUUGAAGACAACGGCAACGUUCUCCCCAUUCUUCAGGCAGCCAGAGAGCAGGGACACGGUGCUUUGGAUGCAAGCCUGCGCUGUCUGCCAGUGCUUCCCUGGAACUGCUUCUUGUGGCCAUCAGCCAGAACGGCCCCGUGUUUGGACGGGCUCCUCCGAGGGGGAGGUUUGCUUUGGAGAAUGGAGGCGGUGGCCCUGUUGGCCCUGUGCGU